AACGAACGCUGGCGGCAUGCCUAACACAUGCAAGUCGAACGAGACCUUCGGGUCUAGUGGCGCACGGGUGCGUAACGCGUGGGAAUCUGCCCUUGGGUUCGGAAUAACAGUUGGAAACGACUGCUAAUACCGGAUGAUGACGUAAGUCCAAAGAUUUAUCGCCCAAGGAUGAGCCCGCGUAGGAUUAGCUAGUUGGUGAGGUAAAGGCUCACCAAGGCGACGAUCCUUAGCUGGUCUGAGAGGAUGAUCAGCCACACUGGGACUGAGACACGGCCCAGACUCCUACGGGAGGCAGCAGUGGGAAAUAUUGGACAAUGGGCGAAAGCCUGAUCCAGCAAUGCCGCGUGAGUGAUGAAGGCCUUAGGGUUGUAAAGCUCUUUUACCCGGGAUGAUAAUGACAGUACCGGGAGAAUAAGCUCCGGCUAACUCCGUG
rnacentral:rRNA from 1 species